rnacentral:rRNA from 1 species
AUGGCCGAGUUGGAGAAGAAGUCCCCGGCCGACGUCGACGAUCCGAAGGCCAUCGAGACGGCGGUGGACGAGAACCAGAAGAAGAUGGAGGCGCUCUCGCUAUUGGCGCCGGAGGACGGCGGCGGCGGCGACGGACCGCCUCUGCUGGAUGACUACGACGACGACUCCCAAAUCCAAGCCGUGGCGUCUGGCGGCACCGUGUACGAAUCCGCGACGACCUUCGAGGACCUGAAGCUCACGCCGGAGCUGCUCAAGGGUCUGCACGACGAGAUGGGGUUCAGCCGCCCCAGGAAGAUCCAGGCCGUCACGCUUCCCAUGAUCCUCACGCCGCCCUACAAGAACCUCGUCGCGCAGGCGCACAACGGCUCCGGCAAGACCACCUGCUUCGUCCUCGGCAUGCUCAGCCGCGUCGACCCCAGCCGCAGGAUUCCCCAGGCCAUCUGCAUCUGCCCUACCAGGGAGCUUGCGCAGCAGAAUAAAUCCGUGCUCAUGAGGAUGAGCAAGUUUACCGGCAUUACCUGUGCCUCCGCCAUCUCGCCGGCUCUCAAGGAUUACAUGCCCAUCUCCAAGAUGGCACCGGUGACUGAUCAGGUGGUGAUUGGCACUUCUGGGACUCUCAUUAAGUGGAUAACCAAUAAGAAGCUUGCCACAAGGGACAUCAAGAUUCUUGUGUUCGACGAGGCAGACCAUAUGCUUGCUGAGGAGAACUUUAUGAGUGAUUCUACAAGGAUCAUGAGGGAUAUACAGAGCAGUGCCGGUGACUGCCAGCUGCUUCUGUUUUCUGCAACCUUCAACGAGAAAGUGAAGGAUUUUAUUACAAAGGUCAUUAAGGAGGGAAACCAGAUAUUUGUGAAGAAGGAAGAUCUUACUUUGGACAAAGUAAAGCAAUAUAAAGUCCGAGUCCCCGAUGAGAUAGCCAAAAUAGAGGUCAUAAGGGACAAGAUCUUUGAGUUUGGUCAGAAGGUUGGACAGGUUAUCAUAUUUGUGAGAACAAAGAUAAGUACUAAGAAUCUUCAUAAUGCUUUGACAAAAGAGGACUAUGUGUGUUCCUCAAUUCAAGGAUCCCUCGACCACGCAGAGAGGGAAAAGGUAAUACAGGAAUUCAAAGAUGGGUACACCAAGGUUCUUAUAUCAACUGAUCUUCUUGCCCGAGGUUUUGACCAAUCACAGGUCAAUCUGGUCAUCAACUACGACAUGCCAAUCAAGUAUAAUUCUAGAGAUGAGCCUGAUUAUGAGGUGUACCUGCACAGAAUUGGCAGAGCUGGGCGCUUUGGCCAAAAAGGAGCUGUGUUCAACCUGCUAUGCGGUGAAACUGAUGACAUUUUGAUGACAAAGAUCGAGAACUACUUCCAGCAUAAAGUACAGGAGGUCCCCAGCUGGGAGAGCGAGGAGAAUUUUGAGACUGUUCUUAAGGAUGCUGGUUUACUUGAGUAA